rnacentral:miRNA from 1 species
AAAAAAUCGUCUCAUUCCUUUCU